rnacentral:rRNA from 1 species
CAGUAGCCGCGGUAAUACGAAGGGGGCUAGCGUUGUUCGGAAUUACUGGGCGUAAAGCGCACGUAGGCGGAUAUUUAAGCCAGGGGUGAAAUCCCAGAGCUCAACUCUGGAACUGCCUUUGAUACUGGGUAUCUUGAGUAUGGAAGAGGUGAGUGGAAUUCCGAGUGUAGAGGUGAAAUUCGUAGAUAUUCGAAGGAACACCAGUGGCGAAGGCGGCUCACUGGUCCAUUACUGACGCUGAGGUGCGAAAGCGUGGGGAGCAAACAGGAUUAGAUACCCCUGUAGUCCCUGUCUCUUAUAC